rnacentral:rRNA from 1 species
GUAGUCUGCAACCCGACUACAUGAAGCUGGAAUCGCUAGUAAUCGCGGAUCAGAAUGCCGCGGUGAAUACGUUCCCGGGUCUUGUACACACCGCCCGUCACACCAUGGGAGUCGGAAAUGCCCGAAGUCUGUGACCCAACCUACGGGAGGGAGCAGCCGAAGGCAGGUCGGAUGACUGGGGUGAAGUCGUAACAAGGUAGC